AAUCUGUUCUCUUUCAGGCUCACUGUGCAGAUGGCGUGCAAUUAAGUGGGUCGGUGCAGCAAACCCUCGUAUCCUCCCGCUUCCCUAAAAGCAGAGGAUUGAGCCGCUGCACUCCAGCCUGGGCAACACAGCGAGACCCUAUGUCUUAAAGAAAGGGCAGAAGUGGGGACCCCUCUCCCACCCCCUUCCCCUGCUCCAAGCCAAAGCGUUUGAAGCAAGAGGUUGCCUCCUGUGAGUUUCCCCCAGUCCCUGGAGGCCUGGGCUUUGGGAGGUGUGUCCAGGCAGAGGACAGAGGUCUUGUGCAAAGGGCCGCUUUUCCCUUCGCCCACCCUGCGCCCGCCCAGCCCCUUAUCCGAUGGGAAAGCCUUACUGACUCUUUUCCUCGCAGAAGCGCCCAGAUGCUGUUUAUGCAACCUCUCCAGAAUCUCAGUGUACUGUACUUUUUAAAAAGUGAUUUGAUUCAAAGCACUCAUUCUUUAAUUAAACUUCAUUUAGCUGC
rnacentral:lncRNA from 1 species